AGCGAACGCUGGCGGCAGGCCUAACACAUGCAAGUCGAACGGACCCUUCGGGGUUAGUGGCGGACGGGUGAGUAACACGUGGGAACGUGCCUUUAGGUUCGGAAUAGCUCCUGGAAACGGGUGGUAAUGCCGAAUGUGCCCUUCGGGGGAAAGAUUUAUCGCCUUUAGAGCGGCCCGCGUCUGAUUAGCUAGUUGGUGAGGUAAAGGCUCACCAAGGCGACGAUCAGUAGCUGGUCUGAGAGGAUGACCAGCCACAUUGGGACUGAGACACGGCACAAACUCCUACGGGAGGCAGCAGUGGGGAAUCUUGCGCAAUGGGCGAAAGCCUGACGCAGCCAUGCCGCGUGAAUGAUGAAGGUCUUAGGAUUGUAAAAUUCUUUCACCGGGGACGAUAAUGACGGUACCCGGAGAAGAAGCCCCGGCUAACUUCGUGCCAGCCGCCGCUGUAAUAC
rnacentral:rRNA from 1 species